rnacentral:rRNA from 1 species
UUAUGAAAGAUUAACUUCUGCGAAAGCAUCUGCCAAGGAUGUUUUCAUUAAUCAAGAACGAAAGUUAGGGGAUCGAAGACGAUCAGAUACCGUCGUAGUCUUAACCAUAAACGAUGCCGACCAGCGAUUAGGAGACGUUGAAUACAAAACACCACCAUCGGUGCGGUCGUCCUUGGCGUCGGUCUUUCGGGGCCGGCGCGGGGACGGCUUAGCCCGGUGGCACCGGUGAAUGACUCCCCUAGCAGCUUGUGAGAA